GGGAGGAGGCGCGCGGGCCCGGGCGGGCGGCUCCGGGGAAGCCUGGCCAGGCGGCGGGGCGCCCGCAGGGUCCGGGCCCAGCGGGUCAGUGUGCGGCCGAGGGCGGGGCUGCGCGCACACUUGUGGGUUCCCGCCGAGUUAGAGAUGACUAACGCUGGCCAGAGCUUGCAAAGGGGAGAAGGAGUUCAGAAAAACAAACGUCCUCUAGAAACGACACAUCCCCAUGUAUCCUACGGGCCUGGCCUGUUUCGGUGGACGCUGUGCUGGAACUGCCCUCUGCCUGGUUUGGAGGCCGGAGACGAGCGACCCCAUGGGCGGUGACAGCCCCACCCCCACAAACAAACGCACACUGUUUAGAAACUUCCUCCUUUGAAAGAAAAGCUACCUAAGCAGCUUCAUCAAACCGAAAAAGGGAAGGGUAGUGGAGGGGUGGGGCGGGGAGGGCGGACGUGAGGCCCUUUAGAAGCGGAAAGGUGUACCUCAGAAUAUGUCAUCCCACUGUCAUUCACUCCAAGCGCCAGUUAUCAGAAGUUCAUCCUGAGGCAGCAGGGCUGGCCUUGUCACACCUGGGCAGAAGCUGAAGUGUCCUUGACACAUCUUGACAUCACUUUUAUAACUCAGUUGUCAAAUAUUAGUCAUUUUGAUGCUCAUCACUAUCCCAGGAAGAAGUGGGAUGAGUAUUAAAGAAAAUAGAAAAUAAAUGUUGAAGUAAAUGGCGGACACUGGAGAUGAAUCAUUUAACACUAAUUCAACUGCCCUCCAGCAUAACUUUCUGCAGAGUCCUCUACAGGUUGAUUUCCUCACAGGCCCCCUCCAAGAGCCCAGGAGACAGAGCAGCUAAUGGACAGAAUCACAGAUGGACACAGACAGAAACUGAACUGCAGUGGCCCCCUGGGCACGUGAAGGGAUUAAGCAGAAAGUAAAGUCAACAGAGGGUGAGGCUCUAGCCAACCACCUGUUUUUGUGAAUAAAGUUUUACUGGACAUAUCCAUCCCCAU